GAUGAACGCUAGCGGCAGGCCUAACACAUGCAAGUCGAGGGGCAGAACAUAAGGUGGUUUACUACUUUUGGUGGCGACCGGCGGACGGGUGCGUAACACGUAUGCAACCUGCCUCCAACAGGCGGAUAACGGGUAGAAAUUUCCACUAAUACUCCAUAAUAUCAGAAUCGGCAUCGGUUUUGGUUGAAGACUCCGCUGGUUGGAGACGGGCAUGCGUUGGAUUAGAUAUUUGGUGAGGUAACGGCUCACCAAGUAAACGAUAAAUAGGGGAACUGAGAGGUUAGCCCCCAACACUGGAACUGCGACACGGACCAGACUGCUACGGGAGGCAGCAGUGAGGAAUAUUGGUCAAUGGGGGCAACCCUGAACCAGCCAUGCCGCGUGCAGGAAGACGGCUCUAUGAGUUGUAAACUGCUCUUACAAGGGGAUAGACCGGUGUACGUGUACACCGUUGAAGGUACCUUGGGAAUAAGGAUCGGCUAACUCCGUGCCAGCCGCCGCCGUAA
rnacentral:rRNA from 1 species